UACAGAGGGUGCGAGCGUUGUUCGGAAUUAUUGGGCGUAAAGGGCGCGUAGGCGGUGCGGUAAGUCACCUGUGAAAUCUCCUGGCUCAACUGGGAGCUUGCAGGCGAAACUGCCGUGCUGGAGUGUGGGAGAGGUGCGUGGAAUUCCCGGUGUAGCGGUGAAAUGCGCAGAUAUCAGGAGGAACACCGGUGGCGAAGGCGGAUCUCUGGGACGGUACUGACGCUGAGACGCGAAAGCGUGGGGAGCGAACAGG
rnacentral:rRNA from 1 species